rnacentral:rRNA from 1 species
CGGGGUGGAGUAAUGUCUGGGAAACUGCCUGAUGGAGGGGGAUAACUGCUGGAAACGGUGGCUAAUACCGCAUAACGUCGCAAGACCAAAGAGGGGGACCUUCGGGCCUCUUGCCAUCGGAUGUGCCCAGAUGGGAUUAGCUAGUAGGUGGGGUAACGGCUCACCUAGGCGACGAUCCCUAGCUGGUCUGAGAGGAUGACCAGCCACACUGGAACUGAGACACGGUCCAG